rnacentral:lncRNA from 1 species
UUGGAGAAGAAUAACAAUCUGGAGGGAUAAACUAUUCUGAACAUGCCAAUAAUGAAACGUGAAAACCUUAUGGGGACUUGAGAUAAUUGGCUUGUGUGAAAGGGUCUGUUAGACAAGUGAAGAAUAGAUAUGAACAAAGGCAACAGGUAUGUGUUACAAGUCAAUGGAACUUACUGACUAAAUUCUAAGUAGAACAUUGUUUAAAAAGUUAAAAGGGAGUGGAUUUUUCCUCCCAACUGAAAAACAAAGUCUAAAGUUUAAUGAAUGAUUUCUGCAAUAAAAUAUGGUAAAAUAACUAUUAAUCUAUCAGUUGUAGACCCUUGGAAUCUUAUUUAUUUUUAACUCUUGAGCUUUUUUGUGAGCUUAAGAAUAUACAGAAAGCACCCAGCAAUUUUUAUUCUACUGAUGGUACAACCAUAUCAGGCCUGUCUUAUCUCCUUCAGGACCUCACUAAUUCCACAAGAGACCUUCUUCUGUCCAGCCUGUUGUUUUUAUUCCAAAUGAUGACAACACUGUUUCUCACCUCCAGCCCAGACCGACAUUCAUCUUGUGUACUGAUAGAGUCCAGAGAAGAAUCUCUUUUCUGUCUUUCCAUCCAAUAGUUGAAUUUUGAGCGCUGAAAAGACCUUUUAUAUGACCAAGAUGAGAGAAUAUUA